CGUACUUAGUGGCGGACGGGUGAGUAACGCGUGGGGAACCUGCCCUAUACAGGGGGAUAACAGUUAGAAAUGACUGCUAAUACCGCAUAAGCGCACGGAGCCGCAUGGCCCUGAGUGAAAAACGAUAGUGGUAUAGGAGGGACCCGCGUCUGAUUAGGUAGUUGGUGGGGUAACGGCCCACCAAGCCGACGAUCAGUAGCCGACCUGAGAGGGUGACCGGCCACAUUGGGACUGAGACACGGCCCAAACUCCUACGGAAGGCAGCAG
rnacentral:rRNA from 1 species